rnacentral:rRNA from 1 species
GACGAACGCUGGCGGCGUGCUUAACACAUGCAGGUCGAACGGUAAGGCCCUUCGGGGUACACGAGUGGCGAACGGGUGAGUAACACGUGGGUGAUCUGCCCUGCACUUCGGGAUAAGCCUGGGAAACUGGGUCUAAUACCGGAUAGGACCACUGCCUGCAUGGGUGGUGGUGGAAAGCUUUUGCGGUGUGGGAUGGGCCCGCGGCCUAUCAGCUUGUUGGUGGGGUGAUGGCCUACCAAGGCGACGACGGGUAGCCGGCCUGAGAGGGUGACCGGCCACACUGGGACUGAGAUACGGCUCAGACUCCUACGGGAGGCAGCAGUGGGGAAUAUUGCACAAUGGGCGCAAGCCUGAUGCAGCGACGCCGCGUGAGGGAUGACGGCCUUCGGGUUGUAAACCUCUUUCAGCUAUGACGAAGCGCAAGUGACGGUAGUAGCAGAAGAAGGACCGGCCAACUACGUGCCAGCAGCCGCCGCGG